rnacentral:rRNA from 1 species
UACGGAGGGGGCGAGCGUUAUUCGGAAUCAUUGGGCGUAAAGGGCGCGUAGGCGGCCCCGUAAGUCUUGGGUGAAAGCCCUCGGCUCAACCGAGGAAUUGCCUUGGAUACUGCGGGGCUCGAGGCUGGAAGAGGACAGUGGAAUUCCCGGUGUAGCGGUGAAAUGCGUAGAUAUCAGGAGGAACACCAAUGGCGAAGGCAGCUCGCUGGGACGGAACUGACGCUAAGGCGCGAAAGCGUGGGGAGCGAACAGG